GGUACUGUUGAGGUUACACGUGUUUUCAAUUCGAUCCGUCAUUUAAAAUUCGUCGCGUUAGAAAACGUGUCGUUCGUAUUUAGCAAACUUGUUUGCUUUUAUUUUUUUCUUUCUCUUUCUUCCUUUCUAACGAAUAAAAACAUAGACGACCUUCACCUUCGCGAGACUCACGUGCUUCCUACGUUGAAUUUGUGUGCUAAAAAGAGAGAGAGAUAGAGAGAGAGAGAGAGAGAGAGAGAGAGAGAGAGAGGAAGAGAAAAGCCACAUUGCGUCAUAUAAUUGUUCUCUUCGUUCACCCACGCAUAUAUUUUUGUUCUCUCUCUCUUUUUCAUUAACACUUUACCAACCACACUAGGUCUACUACUAUCAACAUCUUUGCUUUGUUAAUACAUUGUGACGAAGAAGAAUUAAAAG